rnacentral:rRNA from 1 species
GUGGGGAAUAUUGGACAAUGGGGGGAACCCUGAUCCAGCCAUGCCGCGUGUGUGAAGAAGGCCUUUUGGUUGUAAAGCACUUUAAGCGAGGAGGAGGCUACCGAGAUUAAUACUCUUGGAUAGUGGACGUUACUCGCAGAAUAAGCACCGGCUAACUCUGUGCCAGCAGCCGUGGUAAUACAGAGGGUGCAAGCGUUAAUCGGAUUUACUGGGCGUAAAGCGCGCGUAGGUGGCCAAUUAAGUCAAAUGUGAAAUCCCCGAGCUUAACUUGGGAAUUGCAUUCGAUACUGGUUGGCUAGAGUAUGGGAGAGGAUGGUAGAAUGCCAGGUGUAGCGGUGAAAUGCGUAGAGAUCUGGAGGAAUACCGAUGGCGAAGGCAGCCAUCUGGCCUAAUACUGACACUGAGGUGCGAAAGCAUGGGGAGCAAACAGGAUUAGAAACCCGAGUAGUCC